GCCACGGUGGUCUAGCGGUUAGAACGCUGGCCUUGUAAUCCUCGGGUCUCGGGUUCGUAUCCCGGCGGUGCCC
rfam:Zootermopsis nevadensis contig14693, whole genome shotgun sequence.